UGUCGUUUAUUUAAUCGUGUAGCAAUACUGCCACUUGUCAUAUUAUUAAUUGCGUAUUUAUAUAAUAUUAACCAAUGACCAAUCUCUGUAUCUUACUAGCAUCUUUUGCGCAUUUGUCUUUGUAUCAGCCGUAGCGGUCUGCAGGGGGAAUCGCAGAAGCUGGAGUUUCUUAGAGCGCUGCAUGGGUUUGGACAAACAUUAGGGAGAAGCAAACACAAACGAUUCGUGAGUGCAUCGUACGUGUUGUAAGAGCAAGUGAAGCUGAAAGACAUUGACAGUGAAGUGAUGGCUCCCUCUAUCAAUCUCUUCACCUUCCUCGUCCUGUCCCUGGUGGGGGGCAGCUCUUCAUGGGACGAAGCUUCGCCUUGCGGAUCCGGCUCCAUCCUGACAAGGCCCUACACGGCCUUGUGUGAGCUGGAUGCGGUGUGGGGCUUGGUGGUGGUGGUGGCGGCAGCGGCGGCGGCCCUCGCCUCGCUGAUCCUGCUCCUGGUGGUACUGUGUCGCCUGCGGAAGAUCACAGAGGCUGAGGAGCGCA